CUCUGCUAUUCUUCUUGUUUCCACUCUAUAAUUGCUUCCUAUUUGGUUUAGGUCCAAGAUUUCCAUGUGGUCCUCUUUUGUUUUGUCUAUCGCUGUUCUUAGAAUUCAGAGUUUUAAAGAAGUGGAUUAGAAGAGCUUCUGCCUGCUGGAUGGCAAUUUGCUAG
rnacentral:lncRNA from 11 species